rnacentral:rRNA from 1 species
UAGUCCACGCCGUAAACGAUGUCUACUAGCCGUUGGGAGACUUGAUUUCUUAGUGGCGCAGCUAACGCACUAAGUAGACCGCCUGGGGAGUACGGCCGCAAGGUUAAAACUCAAAUGAAUUGACGGGGGCCCGCACAAGCGGUGGAGCAUGUGGUUUAAUUCGAUGCAGCGCGCAGAACCUUACCAUCCCUUGACAUCCUCAACGCGGUUACUCGAGAGAGUUUCCUUCAGUUCGGCUGGUUGAGUGACAGGUGCUGCAUGGCUGUCGUCAGCUCGUGUCGUGAGAUGUUGGGUUAAGUCCCGCAACGAGCGCAACCCUCGCCCUUAGUUGCCAGCAUUCAGUUGGGCACUCUAGGGGAACCNCCGGUGAUAAGCCGGAGGAAGGUGGGGAUGACGUCAAGUCCUCAUGGCCCUUACGGGAUGGGCUACACACGUGCUACAAUGGCAGUGACAAUGGGUUAAUCCCCAAAAACUGUCUCAGUUCGGAUUGUCCUCUGCAACUCGAGGG